GUGAGUAGUUCAGAGUUUGAUCCUGGCUCAGGAUGAACGCUGGCGGCGUGCUUAACACGUGCAAGUCGAACGGAUUUAACAGAAAGCUUGCUUUCGGUUAAAUUAGUGGCGGACGGGUGAGUAACGCGUGGAUAACCUGCCGUAUACAGGGGGAUAACAUUUAGAAAUAGGUGCUAAUACCGCAUAAGCGCACAGUUUCGCAUGAGACAGUGUGAAAAACUCCGGUGGUAUACGAUGGAUCCGCGUCUGAUUAGGUAGUUGGUGGGGUAACGGCCCACCAAGCCGACGAUCAGUAGCCGGCCUGAGAGGGUGAACGGCCACAUUGGGACUGAGACACGGCCCAA
rnacentral:rRNA from 1 species